rnacentral:rRNA from 1 species
UACGGAGGGGGUUAGCGUUAGUUCGGAAUUACUGGGCGUAAAGCGCGCGUAGGCGGAUUAGUUAAAGUUAGAGGUGAAAUCCCGGGGCUCAACCCGGGAACUGCCUUUAAAACUCCCAGUCUAGAGUUCGAGAGAGGUGAGUGGAAUUCCAAGUGUAGAGGUGAAAUGCGUAGAUAUUGGGAGGAACACCAGUGGCGAAGGCGGCUCACUGGCUCGAUACUGACGCUGAGGUGCGAAAGUGUGGGGAGCAAACAGGAUUAGAUACCCUGGUAGUCCACACCGUAAACGAUGAAUGCCAGUCGUCGGAUAGUAUAGUAUUCGGUGACACACCUAACGGAUUAAGCAUUCCGCCUGGGGAGUACGGUCGCAAGAUUAAAACUCAAAGGAAUUGACGGGGGACCGCACAAGCGGUGGAACAUGGGGUUUAAUUCGAAGGAACGCGCAAAACCUUACCAUCCCUUGACAUCCUGUGCUACCUCCAGAGAUGAAUGAGUGCCUUCGGGAACGCAGUGACAGGUGCUGCAUGGCUGUCGUCAGCUCGUGUCGUGAGAUGUUCGGUUAAGUCCGGCAACGAGCGCAACCCUUAUCCUUAUUUGCCAGCAGUUCGGCUGGGCUCUCUAUGGAAACUGCCCGUGAUAAGCCGGAGGAGGGUGUGGAUGACGUCAAGUCCUCAUGGCCCUUUCCGGUUGGAAUACCCGCGUGCUACCAAGGCGGGGACAAUAGGUUAAUCUCCAAAAACCCAUCUCAGUUCGGAUUGCGGUCUGCAACUCGACCCCAUGAAGUCGGAAUCGCUAGUAAUCGCGUAUCAGCACGACGCGGUGAAUACGUUCUCGGGUCU